rnacentral:rRNA from 1 species
UCUUGAUGGUAGUGUAUUGGACUACCAUGGCAUUAACGGGUAACGGAGAAUUAGUGUUCGAUUCCGGAGAGGGAGCCUGAGAAACGGCUACCACAUCUAAGGAAGGCAGCAGGAGCGUAAAUUACCCAAUGUCGAUUCGAUGAGCGUAGUGACAAUACGUAACAACGCGGGGACUUACUGUCUUACUCGAUUGCAAUGAGGCGUGUCUAAUAACCUGUACGAGGAACAAGUGGAGGGCAAGUCUGGUGCCAGCAGCCGCGGUAAUUCCAGCUCCACGAGUGUAUAUUUAAGUUGUUGCAGUUAAAAAGCUCGUAGUUGAACUUCUGCGCGCGUCCGGGUGGCGUCAGCUGAACGGACGCGUGCAUCCGUCUGAAAACCCAUCAGGAUCUUCACUGGUUCGGUGGACGAUCAGACAUUUUACUUUGAAAAAAUUAGAGUGUUCAAAGCAGGCCCUAGCCUGAAUACAUUAGCAUGGAAUAAUGGAAUAGGACGCUGUCCAUUUUAUUUGGUUAUUGGAUUGGCGUAAUGAUUAAUAGGGACAGUUGGGGGCAUUUGUAUUUAAUUGUCAGAGGUGAAAUUCUUGGAUUUAUUAAAGACAAACUUAUGCGAAAGCAUUUGCCAAGGAUGUUUUCAUUAAUCAAGAACGAAAGUUAGAGGAUCAAAGACGAUCAGAUACCGUC